rnacentral:rRNA from 1 species
GACGAACGCUGGCGGCGUGCUUAACACAUGCAAGUCGAACGGAAAGGCCCUGCCUGCAGGGUACUCGAGUGGCGAACGGGUGAGUAACACGUGGGUGAUCUGCCCUGCACUUCGGGAUAAGCCUGGGAAACUGGGUCUAAUACCGGAUAGGAGCCAUUUUUAGUGUGAUGGUUGGAAAGUUUUUUCGGUGUAGGAUGAGCUCGCGGCCUAUCAGCUUGUUGGUGGGGUAAUGGCCUACCAAGGCGGCGACGGGUAGCCGGCCUGAGAGGGUGGACGGCCACAUUGGGACUGAGAUACGGCCCAGACUCCUACGGGAGGCAGCAGUGGGGAAUAUUGCACAAUGGGCGCAAGCCUGAUGCAGCGACGCCGCGUGGGGGAUGACGGCCUUCGGGUUGUAAACUCCUUUCGCUAGGGACGAAGCUUUUUGUGACGGUACCUAGAUAAGAAGCACCGGCUAACCACGUG